rnacentral:rRNA from 1 species
CAGCCGCCGCGGUAAUACGUAGGUGGCAAGCGUUGUCCGGAAUUAUUGGGCGUAAAGGGCUCGCAGGCGGUUUCUUAAGUUUGAUGUGAAAGCCCCCGGCUCAACCGGGGAGGGUCAUUGGAAACUGGGAAACUUGAGUGCAGAAGAGGAGAGUGGAAUUCCACGUGUAGCGGUGAAAUGCGUAGAGACGUGGAGGAACACCAGUGGCGAAGGCGACUCUCUGGUCUGUAACUGACGCUGAGGGGCGAAAGCGUGGGGAGCGAACAGGAUUAGAUACCCCAGUAGUCCCUGUCUCUUAUAC